ACGUUGCCGGGAGAGGAACGGGUCCCCUCUCUCUCUCUCUCUCUUUCUCUCUCUCUCACUCACUCUCUCUCGCUCACUCACACACGGCGGACGGAGAGUAGCAACAGAUAUUUUGACAACGAAAUUAUGACUCGAAGCGUGACUGCAGUGUGACCUCGAAGUGUGACCUCUGAAAUGAUAGUAUGGAAGGUCACUGGAAGCCUGACCUCUCUUGAUAAAGCCUCCGAAAAAGCUUGACUCAUAUACAUUCCAAGGGUUUAACACAUGACCUGAGUUGACCCCGCCAGUGAUAGCGUACAAGGUCACUCCAGAAUCCUGACCUCUUUUGGUAAGCCUCGUGAAAGCGUUGACCCAUAUACAUUCCAAGGGUUUAACAUAUGACCUGAGUUGACCCUGCAAGUGAUAGCGUACAAGGUCACUCCUGAAGCUUGACCUCUCUUGAUAAUCCCCCGAAAAAGGUUUGAUUCUAAUACAUUCCAAGGCUUCAACACAUGACUUGAGUUGACCCCGCAAGUGAGAGCGUACAAGGUCAAUCCUGAAGUCUGACCUCCUUUGAUAGGCCUCCGAGAAAACGUUGAUUCUUAGACAUUUCCAAGGACUUCAACACAUGCUCGGAGUUGACACGGCACGGUGGAAUCUUAUAGAGGCCCAUAGACUUCAACACUUCAAGGGCUUAUUAAACAAACGCCUGUAUGCUAAGACAAUGUGAGAUUCGAUAAAGAACCACACUGUCAAACAUCCCAUGGCACCCACGAUUUGGCACAGUGACAUUUGAUUGAAGCCCUUUUUGAACAUAUUCUGGGCUCACAUACACACGCAUACAUCGGUAAGGCUCUGUUGAAUCUAGUUGAAGCUUGAACAAACGCCUAUAUUGAUAAGGCACUGUGGAUACUGGUAAGGGUUUGCAUUCUACGACAUCCCAAGGCUAGCACACCCACGAUACUGCACUGUGGAAUCUAAUAGAGGCCCUUAGACCUCAGCAUAUCAAGGGCCUUAACAAACGUCUAUGUGUGUUAAGGCACUGUGGAUUCUGAUAAAGGGCUGCAUUCUAAGGCAUCCCAAGGCUAGCACACCCACGAUACUGCACUGUGGAAUCUAAUAGAGGCCCUUAGACUUCAGCAUAUCAAGGGCCUUAACAAACGUCUAUGUAUGUUAAGGCACUGUGGAUUCUGAUAAAGGGCUACACUCUAAGGCAUCCCAAGGCUAGCACACCCACGAUACUGCACUGUGGAAUCUAAUAGAGGCCCUUAGACUUCAGCAUAUCAAGGGCCUUAACAAACGUCUAUGUAUGUUAAGGCACUGUGGAUUCUGAUAAAGGGCUACAUUCUACGACAUCCCAAGGCUAGCACACCCACGAUACUGCACUGUGGAAUCUAAUAGAGGCCCUUAGACUUCAGCAUAUCAAGGGCCUUAACAAACGUCUAUGUAUGUUAAGGCACUGUGGAUUCUGAUAAAGGGCUACACUCUAAGGCAUCCCAAGGCUAGCACACCCACGAUACUGCACUGUGGAAUCUAAUAGAGGCCCUUAGACUUCAGCAUAUCAAGGGCCUUAACAAACGUCUAUGUAUGUUAAGGCACUGUGGAUUCUGAUAAAGGGCUGCAUUCUACGACAUCCCAAGGCUAGCACACCCACGAUACUGCACUGUGGAAUCUAAUAGAGGCCCUUAGAUUUCAACACUUCAAGGGCGGUUACACACACGCCUUAUAUGAAACGGCUCUGUUGAUUCUAAUAGAGGCUCUUAUAUACAUAUUAGAUAAGGCUUUCGUAGAGGCUGUGUUAGUAUAUCCAUGGGUAGUGUUAUGAGCCUAGUAGUAGUUUGACAAGGCUUCUGUACCGUGGACUUGUAAAACGCUCUUGAAAAUUUGUUAUGAGAACCUUAUGUGUUUGAAAAUACAGCACUAACACACCCAUAUUGGAUAAAGCUUUGGUAGAGGCUGUGUUAGUGUGUCCAUGGGUAGUGUUACAAGCCUGGUGAUAGUCUGACAAGGAAACACAAUCUUAAGAACACUUUUUGAAAAUACGUUUUGAUAGUCGAAAUCCUUUGAAAAUACAGCACUAACACACCCACAUUAGAUAAAGCUUUGGUAGAGGCUGUGUUAGUGUGUCCAUGGGUAGUGUUACGAGCCUAAUCAAAGCCUGAAAAAGUACACUGAUUGAGGUUGUGUUAGUGUGUCCAUGGGUAGUGUUACGAGCCUGAUGAAAGCCUGAAAAAGUACACUGACUGAGGUUGUGUUAGUGUGUCCAUGGGUAGUGUUACGAGCCUGAUGAAAGCCUGAAAAAGUACACUGACUGAGGUUGUGUUAGUGUGUCCAUGGGUAGUGUUACGAACCUAAUGAAAGAUUGAAAAGACAUUGAGCAUAGAGGUUGUGUUAGUAUGUCCAUGGGUAGUGUUACGAGCCUGAUGAAAGCCUGAAAAAGUACACUGAUUGAGGUUGUGUUAGUGUGUCCAUGGGUAGUGUUACGAGCCUGGUGGUAAUUUGACGAGGCUUCCAAACCAUGAACGCGAAGAAACAGAAUAAGAUUAAAACGAAGAAUGAGAACAAGAAGAAAAUGAGGUGAAGACAGUAUUGGAAAGAAGACAAUUUGUUGAUAUGAAUAGGAAGCCAAAUAAGUGUGCGAGAGUGUGAAGGAGGAGGAGGAGGAGGAGGAAGAAGAGGAAGAAGAAAAAGAACUUGAUGUCAAAAAUUAACGAAAAAUAAAGAAACGAACAGAGAAAAAGAAAAGAAGGAGGAAAAGAGUAAAAACAACAAGAAGAAAGAAGAAAAAGUGUGAAAAAAAUUAAGAAAACACUCAAGGAAGAAAAGGAAGAAGAAAAAAAGAACUUGAUGUCAAAAAUCAACGAAAAAUAAAGAAACGAACAGAGAAAAAGAAAAAAAGAAGGAGAAAAAGAGUAAAAACAACAAGAAGAAAGAAGAAAAAGUUUGGAAAAAAUAAAGAAAACACUCAAGGAAGAAAAGGAAGAAAAAAAAAAGAACUUGAUGUCGAAAAUAAACGGAAAAUAGAGAAACGAACAGAGGAAAAGAAAGGAAAUUAGAAACGACAAAAUAAUAAAUAACUAGAAAAAGAAAAAUAUAGAAAAAAAACAUUGAAGAAAACAAACAAAUAAAUCAAAACCGAGUGAAUACGAGAAAACAAUAAUAAAAACAACAACAAGAAAAAUACAAAAAACAACAACAGAAAAAAAACACGAAAAUGAAAACAAUUGAAAAACGCGAAGUGUGAAAAAGAAAAACAAAGACAAAACAAACAAGAAAAAACAAAACAGACUGCGACUGAAUAAAAAAACAAGAUAAAAAAUAAAAAUGAAAAAAAAACUUGAAAAAAUGAAAAUGAAUGAAAAACGCGAAGUGUGAAAACAAGAACAAAGACAAAACAAACAAGAAAACCAAAGCAGAAUGCGACUGAAUACGAGAAAACACUAAAGACAAGAAAAAAAAAGAAAAAAAAAACUUGAAAAAAUGAAAACAAAUGAAAAACGCGAACUGUGAACACAAAAACGCGAACUGUGAACACAAAAACGCGAACUGUGAACACAAAAACGCGAACUGUGAACACAAAAAC